CCUACGGGUGGCUGCAGUGGGGAAUAUUGGACAAUGGGGGGAACCCUGAUCCAGCCAUGCCGCGUGUGUGAAGAAGGCCCUCGGGUUGUAAAGCACUUUCAGUGAGGAAGAACGCCUGGUGGUUAAUACCCAUCAGGAAAGACAUCACUCACAGAAGAAGCACCGGCUAACUCCGUGCCAGCAGCCGCGGUAAUACGGAGGGUGCGAGCGUUAAUCGGAAUUACUGGGCGUAAAGCGCGCGUAGGUGGCUUGAUAAGCCGGUUGUGAAAGCCCCGGGCUCAACCUGGGAACGGCAUCCGGAACUGUCAAGCUAGAGUGCAGGAGAGGAAGGUAGAAUUCCCGGUGUAGCGGUGAAAUGCGUAGAGAUCGGGAGGAAUACCAGUGGCGAAGGCGGCCUUCUGGACUGACACUGACACUGAGGUGCGAAAGCGUGGGUAGCAAUCAGGAUUAGAUACCCCUGUAGUC
rnacentral:rRNA from 1 species